rnacentral:misc_RNA from 1 species
GAGCCGUUACAAAGACGCUCCAUAACCGUCGGUGUGCUGCUGCUGACGAUGACUCUGAUGCUGUAAACACUAACUAAACAUGGCGUUGGUUCGGCUGUGCGUGGCCCGCCAGUCCUUCCUCGGCAGGUCUUUUUUUAGACAUGCAGAGGCCCCUGGAGUGUUGUCAGUGGCAUACAAGCAGAGUGUGGCACAGCAGCUGGGCCUGCCAGAGCCUCCCAAGCGCCCCCUCGCACCUCACGUCCGCUUCAUUAAGGACCGGAUAGAGGACAUUACGAAACAGUAUCCAAAGCUGUCAAGUCAAGAGGUAUUUACCAAAACCCUGGACAACUGGAAAUCUCUCAAUUCUUUAGAGAAAAGUAAAUGGACUUCUGAAUUUAAUAGAGAAAAGGAACUUUAUAAUGCACUAUAUAAAGCUUAUGUUGAGAAGCUGAGCCCGUCUCAGCUGGAGAGCAUAAAGGCGCUGAAAAGGAAGCGUUCCGAGGACAAGGCAAAACGAAUGUCAAGACGAGAGAAGAAGAGAGAGAGUGAGGAUCUGGGUAAGCCCAAGUACCCAGGUAAUGCUUUCUUCCUCUACAUAUCCACACUGGAGCGGGGAGACUCAACUGGAAAGGAGUUUGUGAAAGCUGCAGCUGAAAAGUGGCACUCACUGCCAGAAAGAACACAGCAGAUAUACCGAGAAAAGGCUAAGAAGAUGCUGGAGGAAUACAAUGAGGAGCUGUGUCAGUGGGAGGCGAAAAUGGUGCAGAAAGGCAGGGUAGACCUUGUGCGGACAAACCAACUCGGAGGAGAGCUUCGGGAAGGGAUCCGAGGACGUAAGAAGCAGAAUUAGGGACUCGCCUCAGGUGGUGGUGAGAGGGAGGCUGACCCAUCCAGGCUGUCGAUGGAGAGGGAGGGGCAUGGUGUGUCAGUAGAACUGGGCCAGGCAAACUCUACUAAAGUUCAGGGAAAAAGAAAGAAAACUAAAGAUCUGUCAUCAUCGUCCUCUUCUCUCCACCUGGCACCCAUUUUAGGUCAGAAGAGAAGGCCAAAAAGACAAAAAAAGAAUGAUAAAAGACAGACUGGUAAAGCUACAACUCAAGUAGAUGAAGAUGGAUCUGGUGUUGAUAGAUAUUUAUUGCCUAGUAGAAGAAAAGUAAGGAACAAACGUGAAGUAACAAAUAAUUUGUCAUUUCACGUAGUUCCCACACUAUCACCUGAUGUAAUUUCACUGAGUAGUCUUUAUAGAGAUAUUUUUCAGCUCAAAGAGAUUAGAUACCUUAAUUUGUCUUGCUGGAUAAGAUCAAUGCAUGAUUAUAAAGGAUUUUGUACACUAUUAACGGAAUUGGAAGUUGAAAAGCUUGCAUCAGUGUAUCAUAAAAGACAGUUGGUCAGUUCACUUGUAAAAAUUUCACAAAGUACAUUGAAAGAAAGUAAUAGCAGUGCGAAAGGUGAAUAUAAUUUAUUGGACAAAGAAAAUGAAAAUGCAAGCCUAUUGGACACCAGUGUACUUGGUGGCCAGCUGUCUGUCAUUGCGGAUGUUCAUCGUGACGACUCACUGGACCCCGGUGUGUCAAGACAGUGUUCAGAGUCUGUCUCCACCUUGACUCACCUUCCACAGGACUCCUUCCUUAAUAAUGAAGCUGGAUGAUUGUGUCAUGUGCCUCUGUGAGCUUAGCCAUCAGCUAGCUUUGAGCUCAGCAGUGACCUGCAUGGUGGAGUCCCAUGUGUUGACUAUUGGACAGCAACAGCCAGCCUUCAGAAAGUGUCAAACUGUUGUGGUGCUGUUCUGUUCUCUCCAGCUACUGGGAGUUAUGAAAGGUGCGGUAAUAAAUCUGUCACUUCCAUAUCCUAAGUGAGAGAAGACUGGCACAUUUACCUCGUGAUGAAGCAAGUAGGCUGGUGCAGAGAUAAAUGUUGCUGUAUGCUUGAUAAAGGGAUCGUGUUGAAAGGUAUUGAUCCUCACGGGUGAACUCCAUUGCAUUGGUGCUUUGCUGACUGAUGCUUGACAAUAGAUUUUCUCAAAAUGAGUUUGUAGUAAUGUUUGUUUUUGUGCAACAAAAAAUUGAGAAAUCUGCAAGUCUAUAAGUAUUCCUAUUCUUAUUCUUAAGACACAUACUGGAUUGAUUACUUGUGAAAUAAUAUUCAGUAAUUACCUUUCCCAUCACAAUAUGGCGAUGAGUUUUAACUUUAUUGAUUGCUCAAUGAAUCUGAUCCUUUUGCCUCAAAAUUUCAUAUAAAAAAUUGUGUGUAUUCUGUUUUGUUCUUUAAGAUAUUGGUGGUAUAUUCUUGAACAUUCAUCUGAAUAAAUUACAAAUAUUUGGUACAUAUUCUCUUUUCAUUGAGUUUUAACUGGAGUAGUUAAAAUUUUCAUUAAUUCAGGCCUGAAGUCCUCCCCAUGAGUCACUUAUUUCAUUUCCUCUUUUGGUCUGAAAAGUCAUCAAGGCAAUUGCUCAUAUAACAUGCUGAAGCAUGUUUCAAACAUGUUAUUGGCUAUUGGUUUUUCAACUUUAUAUUUGAUAUCUAAGUAACUCAGUGACUUGUUUGUCAUCACUAAAUAACUAUUCUUAGAUAUUUACCUUCUCUCAUGACAAGUAGGGAGGUGGAAACAGAUCACUGCAUUGCACUAGGUCUGCUGCAGUGCUCAAGGUAUGGAGUUAUUUGCCAUCUUUUAGGACACUACUGAAAAAGAAAUCAUAUUAAAACUUUCCCCUAAUAUGAUUCGUGUUUACAAAAAACAAAACAAAACGAUAAUAUCGCUAAAAUUAGCUGAAAUAAUUAUCAACGUAUUACCUUCAUUUCAUUCUUGCAGUAUUAAAAAAAGAAAUGUUAAGAAGUCUUUGUUCAACACUUAUCAAAAUGUAACCAUUGAAUUAUGAAGCAGAUCAGUCGAUAAAAUUAAAUUAUAUUAAUGUUGUCUUGGUAUUUAAGAGAAGUAUGUCAAUGCAAAAAGAUCUUGGAAUUAAUAAAAGCACAGUGAAGCAAA